AAAUUGAAGAGUUUGAUCAUGGCUCAGAUUGAACGCUGGCGGCAGGCCUAACACAUGCAAGUCGAGCGGUAGCACAGAGAGCUUGCUCUCGGGUGACGAGCGGCGGACGGGUGAGUAAUGUCUGGGAAACUGCCUGAUGGAGGGGGAUAACUACUGGAAACGGUAGCUAAUACCGCAUAAUGUCGCAAGACCAAAGUGGGGGACCUUCGGGCCUCAUGCCAUCAGAUGUGCCCAGAUGGGAUUAGCUAGUAGGUGGGGUAACGGCUCACCUAGGCGACGAUCCUAGCUGGUCUGAGAGGAUGACCAGCCACACUGGAACUGAGACACGGUCCAGACUCCUACGGGAGGCAGCAGUGGGGAAUAUUGCACAAUGGGCGCAAGCCUGAUGCAGCCAUGCCGCGUGUGUGAAGAAGGCCUUCGGGUUGUAAAGCACUUUCAGCGGGGAGGAAGGCGGUGAGGUUAAUAACCUCAUCGAUUGACGUUACCCGCAGAAGAAGCACCGGCUAACUCCGUGCCAGCAGCCGCGGUAAUACGGAGGGUGCAAGCGUUAAUCGGAAUUACUGGGCGUAAAGCGCACGCAGGCGGUCUGUCAAGUCGGAUGUGAAAUCCCCGGGCUCAACCUGGGAACUGCAUUCGAAACUGGCAGGCUAGAGUCUUGUAGAGGGGUAGAAUUCCGUGUAGCGGUGAAAUGCGUAGAGAUCUGGAGGAAUACCGGUGGCGAAGGCGGCCCCCUGGACAAAGACUGACGCUCAGGUGCGAAAGCGUGGGGAGCAAACAGGAUUAGAUACCCUGGUAGUCCACGCCGUAAACGAUGUCGAUUUGGAGGUUGUGCCCUUGAGGCGUGGCUUCCGGAGCUAACGCGUUAAAUCGACCGCCUGGGGAGUACGGCCGCAAGGUUAAAACUCAAAUGAAUUGACGGGGGCCCGCACAAGCGGUGGAGCAUGUGGUUUAAUUCGAUGCAACGCGAAGAACCUUACCUGGUCUUGACAUCCACAGAACUUAGCAGAGAUGCUUUGGUGCCUUCGGGAACUGUGAGACAGGUGCUGCAUGGCUGUCGUCAGCUCGUGUUGUGAAAUGUUGGGUUAAGUCCCGCAACGAGCGCAACCCUUAUCCUUUGUUGCCAGCGGUUAGGCCGGGAACUCAAAGGAGACUGCCAGUGAUAAACUGGAGGAAGGUGGGGAUGACGUCAAGUCAUCAUGGCCCUUACGACCGUGGCUACACGUGCUACAAUGGCAUAUACAAAGAGAAGCGACCUCGCGAGAGCAAGCGGACCUCAUAAAGUAUGUCGUAGUCCGGAUUGGAGUCUGCAACUCGACUCCAUGAAGUCGGAAUCGCUAGUAAUCGUAGAUCAGAAUGCUACGGUGAAUACGUUCCCGGGCCUUGUACACACCGCCCGUCACACCAUGGGAGUGGGUUGCAAAAGAAGUAGGUAGCUUAACCUUCGGGAGGGCGCUUACCACUUUGUGAUUCAUGACUGGGGUGAAGUCGUAACAAGGUAACCGUAGGGGAACCUGCGGUUGGAUCACCUCCUUACCUUAAAGAA
rnacentral:rRNA from 1 species